rnacentral:rRNA from 2 species
AGUGGCGGACGGGUGAGUAAUGUCUGGGAAACUGCCUGAUGGAGGGGGAUAACUACUGGAAACGGUGGCUAAUACCGCAUAACGUCGCAAGACCAAAGAGGGGGACCUUCGGGCCUCUUGCCAUCAGAUGUGCCCAGAUGGGAUUAGCUUGUUGGUGAGGUAACGGCUCACCAAGGCGACGAUCCCUAGCUGGUCUGAGAGGAUGACCAGCCACACUGGAACUGAGACACGGUCCAGACUCCUACGGGAGGCAGCAGUGGGGAAUAUUGCACAAUGGGCGCAAGCCUGAUGCAGCCAUGCCGCGUGUAUGAAGAAGGCCUUCGGGUUGUAAAGUACUUUCAGCGGGGAGGAAGGUGUUGUGGUUAAUAACCGCAGCAAUUGACGUUACCCGCAGAAGAAGCACCGGCUAACUCCGUGCCAGCAGCCGCGGUAAUACGGAGGGUGCAAGCGUUAAUCGGAAUUACUGGGCGUAAAGCGCACGCAGGCGGUCUGUCAAGUCGGAUGUGAAAUCCCCGGGCUCAACCUGGGAACUGCAUUCGAAACUGGCAGGCUUGAGUCUUGUAGAGGGGGGUAGAAUUCCAGGUGUAGCGGUGAAAUGCGUAGAGAUCUGGAGGAAUACCGGUGGCGAAGGCGGCCCCCUGGACAAAGACUGACGCUCAGGUGCGAAAGCGUGGGGAGCAAACAGGAUUAGAUACCCUGGUAGUCCACGCCGUAAACGAUGUCUACUUGGAGGUUGUGCCCUUGAGGCGUGGCUUCCGGAGCUAACGCGUUAAGUAGACCGCCUGGGGAGUACGGCCGCAAGGUUAAAACUCAAAUGAAUUGACGGGGGCCCGCACAAGCGGUGGAGCAUGUGGUUUAAUUCGAUGCAACGCGAAGAACCUUACCUGGUCUUGACAUCCACAGAACUUUCCAGAGAUGGAUUGGUGCCUUCGGGAACUGUGAGACAGGUGCUGCAUGGCUGUCGUCAGCUCGUGUUGUGAAAUGUUGGGUUAAGUCCCGCAACGAGCGCAAC